GUGUGUGUGUGCCCCAGCAGGAGAAAGCUUUUCCUCUUGCCUGGAAGGAAGAUCUGAAAGAUUAUAAAAGAAACAACCUGGGUGCUGAUGCCAAGCUCCUGCUUUUGAAUGCUGUUUCACAAUAUUGGUCCAAGCGAGCUGCCCCCUCGGUGAACACAGAACAAUUCUGUGCCAGACGAUCAGCAAGUAUUGCUUCCUGUAAAUAUUCUCAACAAGAAGCCAGAACUUAGUUUGGACCAGGGAGUGAAAUUUGAUGUUUGCACACGCAGGAAGCCGGCCAGAAAAAAAGUUGAUAACCCUACAGGAGAGGCAGAUGCACUAAGGAACUGAGGGCCGCUUGGUGAAGGCCCUGGAUCACAGAGAAAGACUUGUUUUUGUUCUCAGCCAGCCUGUAACUCCUUCGUAAGCGUCACUCCACUCUGUGUUAGGAGAGAGCCACAUCAUCCUGGCAUUUCCUCCACUCAGGCACAUGAGUGGCAUGGAACGUGAACUCCAUGCUGCUGCCAUAGUAGUGACUCCUCUGCAGCACCUGCCCAUGUAGUGAAACAAGUUUUACUUCCUCCAACAAACAAAUUGUAUAUGUACAUGUUUGCAGUUUGCAUAGAUAAGAUGUAGAAAGUAUUUGCAACACUGGCAAGAUGUUUUUUAGAAGCUCAGUUCUGCUAUAUAAUUUGGCCUAAGAAUUAAGUCCUAAGGCUGCUGUGCUCUGUGUACUUCUCCUGUGGCCCCUUAAAGACUACCUCAUUUAUUGUGAUGUGAA